UACGUAGGGUGCGAGCGUUAAUCGGAAUUACUGGGCGUAAAGCGUGCGCAGGCGGUUCGUUAUGUCCGAUGUGAAAGCCCCGAGCUUAACUUGGGAAUGGCAUUGGAAACUGGCGGGCUGGAGUGCGGCAGAGGGGGGUGGAAUUCCACGUGUAGCAGUGAAAUGCGUAGAGAUGUGGAGGAACACCGAUGGCGAAGGCAGCCCCCUGGGCCGACACUGACGCUGAGGCGCGAAAGCUAGGGGAGCAAACGGG
rnacentral:rRNA from 1 species